UGAGGAAUAUUGGGCAAUGGACGCAAGUCUGACCCAGCAACGCCGCGUGGAGGACGAAGGCUUUCGGGUUGUAAACUCCUUUUAUGGGGGAAAAGCAAGGAUGGUACCCCAGGAAUAAGUCACGGCUAACUACGUGCCAGCAGCCGCGGUAAUACGUAGGUGACGAGCGUUAUCCGGAAUUAUUGGGCGUAAAGCGCACGCAAGCGGUCUGUCAAGUCUGACGUGAAAUCUCUUGGCUUAACUGGGAGCGGUCGUUGGAAACUGACAGGCUUGAGGCGAUGAGAGGGGUGCAGAAUUCCCGGUGUAGUGGUGGAAUGCGUAGAUAUCGGGGGGAAUACCUGUGGCGAAAGCGGCACCCUGGCGUCGUUCUGACGCUCAUGUGCGAAAGCGUGGGGAGCGAACGG
rnacentral:rRNA from 1 species